rnacentral:SRP_RNA from 1 species
GUCGAAAAAAGAAACAUGGGCUUGUAACCCAAGUGGGGGAAUUAGUGUGGUGAAAUGUUAGGUUGUUCUAGAUGGUUGGGCUAGGUGAACUGAUUUCUGGAAAGCCUUGUCCAAGCAUAGAGUUGGGCCUUGCUUGUCCAAUUAAAGGAAUGGGUUGUUGGGGUCCUUAUGCGGAGCAUACUACGUGAGGCUGGUUUCAUAGAGCAACAAAUAUUUUACGCUCUAUGCAGUCGAAGGAUAACUAGUCGGUCUCCCCCAAGUCCAAUAACGCCUGAUGGGAUGCUCCAAUUAAACCACGAUUUUU